UACGUAGGGGGGCGAGCGUUGUUCGGAAUUAUUGGGCGUAAAGGGUGCGUAGGCGGCCUGACAAGUCUGAUGUGAAAUCCCUGGGCUCAACCCAGGGCCUGCAUCGGAAACUGCCGGGCUUGAGUGUGGGAGAGGUGAGUGGAAUUCCUGGUGUAGCGGUGAAAUUCGUAGAUAUUCGGAAGAACACCAGUGGCGAAGGCGACUCACUGGACACGUAUUGACGCUGAGGUGCGAAAGCGUGGGGAGCAAACAGG
rnacentral:rRNA from 1 species